rnacentral:rRNA from 1 species
AUGAACGCUGGCGGCGUGCCUAAUACAUGCAAGUCGAGCGAACGGACGAGAAGCUUGCUUUUCUGAUGUUAGCGGCGGACGGGUGAGUAACACGUGGAUAACCUACCUAUAAGACUGGGAUAACUUCGGGAAACCGGAGCCAAUACCGGAUAAUAUUUUGAACCGCAUGGUUCAAAAGUGAAAGACGGUCUUGCUGUCACUUAUAGAUGGAUCCGCGCUGCAUUAGCUAGUUGGUAAGGUAACGGCUUACCAAGGCAACGAUGCAUAGCCGACCUGAGAGGGUGAUCGGCCACACUGGAACUGAGACACGGUCCAGACUCCUACGGGAGGCAGCAGUAGGGAAUCUUCCGCAAUGGGCGAAAGCCUGACGGAGCAACGCCGCGUGAGUGAUGAAGGUCUUCGGAUCGUAAAACUCUGUUAUUAGGGAAGAACAUAUGUGUAAGUAACUGUGCACAUCUUGACGGUACCUAAUCAGAAAGCCACGGCUAACUACGUG